rnacentral:rRNA from 1 species
AUUGAACGCUGGCGGCAGGCUUAACACAUGCAAGUCGAGCGGGGACUUCGGUCCUAGCGGCGAACGGGUGAGGAAUGCUUGGGAAUCUGCCCAGUAGUGGGGGAUAACGUUUCGAAAGGAACGCUAAUACCGCAUACGUCCUACGGGAGAAAGGGGGGGAUCUUCGGACCUCUCGCUAUUGGAUGAGCCCAAGUCGGAUUAGCUAGUUGGUGAGGUAAAGGCUCACCAAGGCGACGAUCCGUAGCUGGUCUGAGAGGAUGAUCAGCCACACUGGAACUGAGACACGGUCCAGACUCCUACGGGAGGCAGCAGUGGGGAAUAUUGGACAAUGGGCGAAAGCCUGAUCCAGCCAUGCCGCGUGUGUGAAGAAGGCCUUCGGGUUGUAAAGCACUUUAAGCGAGGAGGAAUGGCUCUUGGUUAAUAACCUUGAGCAGUGACGUUACUCGCAGAAUAAGCACCGGCUAACUCUGUGCCAGCCGCCGCAGUAAGAC